GGCUUUUCCAUGAUUUGCCAAUAUGGCACUCGCGGGAUAUUCUUCGGGCAACGUGGUUUGCGUGUUUGAAAAAUACAAGCUCAGAUGUCAUGUGUUCGAUAAAAAAAUAAAAUAAAAAAUGGUCCCAAUGGCGGUUCGGAGGUGCAAAAACUCUCCAAUCGUGUGGCUCGUCUUUCAAGGCCUCGCUGUACGUCAUCCAAGGGAAAUGUCAAGCUUGCGGAGCA